AAGUCUUAGUUUAUUAACAUCGUUCAAUUUUGAUUUUAGAUCAUGUGAUUUGUCGAGCAGAUUCGUGAGCUAUGAUUUUGCAUCACUCAAUUUUAGGCCAGCAAAUAAUAGGAUGUUCUCCUCAUGGACUCAUUUUGUCUUAAUUGUUGUAAUUAUAAAUAGUGGAGUAUCAACUAAAG